rnacentral:tRNA from 1 species
GGCCCUUUAGCUCAGUUGGUUAGAGCGAACGACUCAUAAUCGUCAGGUCGCUGGUUCAAGUCCAGCAAGGGCCACCA